ACACACACAUGAUUUCCUGUAGAUGUAAGUGUACAAAGUAGAAAGUGGAAGUGAAAGUAUUCAGACUCUAUCUUGAGUGCACAGAGCAGGAGGAGACGUGAAUGCUGAGGCAGGACUGACUGAAGUCCAGAAGAUGGAGGAAGAGGAGGACAGAGCAGAGUCUCCAGGAUCCAGAUGUCUGUCUAUGAAGAGUGACAGAGAUAUUCCUAUGAGCUUCAGUAAAAAACCUGGACCUUCAGACACAAAAGUUCAGUCCAACAGACGGAGAGCAGAGUCUCCAGGAUCCAGCUGUCUGUCUAUGAAGAGUGACCGGUCCAGAGAUUUUCCUAUGAGCUUCAGUAAAGAACCUGGACCUUCAGACACAAAACCCAGAACAAGGCGUGGACUGCAGACAGCCAGUCAGACCAGCACUGUACAAAGUAAGACUGUCCAUGUACUUCUCUAUAUAUUCUUUUAUCCAUAACUUUUUAUUGCUGAUGAAAUAAUCAGCAGACUUUCUUUGUUUUGUCUCAAAUGUCUUUCUCU